rnacentral:rRNA from 1 species
GAUUAUGGCUCAGGAUGAAUAGCUAGCGACAGGCUUAACACAUGCAAGUCGAGGGGCAUCACGGGAGUAGCAAUACAACUGGUGGCGACCGGCGCACGGGUGAGUAACGCGUAUGCAACCUACCUAUCAGAGGGGGAAUAACCCGGCGAAAGUCGGACUAAUACCGCAUAAAACAGGGGCACCGCAUGGUGAUAUUUGUUAAGAAAUUCGCUGAUAGAUGGGCAUGCGUUCCAUUAGGUAGUUGGUGAGGUAACGGCUCACCAAGCCGACGAUGGAUAGGGGAACUGAGAGGUUGGUCCCCCACACUGGUACUGAGACACGGACCAGACUCCUACGGGAGGCAGCAGUGAGGAAUAUUGGUCAAUGGGCGGGAGCCUGAACCAGCCAAGUCGCGUGAAGGAAGAAGGAUCUAUGGUUCGUAAACUUCUUUUGCGAGGGGAAUAAAGUGCAGGACGUGUCCUGUUUUGUAUGUACCCUGAGAAUAAGGAUCGGCUAACUCCGUGCCAGCCGCCGC